UCCCGUGUAGUGAAGUGGCAUCACAACUGUCUCUGAAUCAGUUAUCCUAGGUUCGACCCCUGGCACGGGAU
rnacentral:tRNA from 1 species